rnacentral:misc_RNA from 1 species
AUCUUUACAAAAGCGCGACAAUGAUUAUUUUCUACUAAUCACAAAGAUAUUGGAACUUUAUAUUUAAUUUUUGGAGCUUGAUCAGCUAUAGUUGGAACAGCUCUAAGAAUACUAAUUCGAGCUGAACUUGGUCAACCGGGUAGACUAAUUGGAGAUGAUCAAAUUUAUAAUGUAAUUGUUACAGCUCACGCUUUUAUUAUAAUUUUUUUUAUAGUUAUACCUAUUAUGAUUGGAGGUUUUGGAAACUGACUUCUACCGUUAAUGUUAGGAGCACCAGAUAUGGCUUUCCCUCGAUUAAAUAAUAUAAGAUUCUGGCUUCUUCCUCCAGCUUUAAUAUUAUUAAUUAGUGGUUCUUUAGUAGAGGCGGGGGCUGGAACAGGAUGAACAGUUUACCCUCCUUUAUCAAGUAACAUUGCUCAUUCUGGUGCUUCAGUUGACUUAUCAAUUUUCUCUUUACAUUUAGCAGGUGCUUCGUCAAUUUUAGGUGCCAUUAAUUUUAUGUCUACAGUUAUUAACAUACGAGCUGAAACACUGACAUUUGAUCGACUUCCAUUAUUUGUCUGAAGAGUAUUUAUUACUGUAAUUCUUUUACUUUUAUCACUUCCAGUACUAGCAGGAGCUAUUACUAUGUUGCUAACAGAUCGAAAUCUAAAUACCUCAUUUUUUGAUCCAACAGGAGGUGGAGAUCCAAUCUUAUACCAACAUCUAUUUUGGUUUUUUGGGCAUCCUGAGGUUUAUAUUUUAAUUUUACCAGCUUUUGGAAUGAUUUCACAUAUUGUAGCCAGUGAAAGUGGUAAAAAAGAAUCUUUUGGAACUUUAGGAAUAAUUUAUGCUAUGAUUGCAAUUGGAAUUUUAGGGUUUGUUGUAUGAGCUCACCACAUGUUUACAGUUGGAAUAGACGUUGAUACUCGAGCAUAUUUUACUUCUGCUACUAUAAUUAUUGCUGUGCCUACAGGAAUUAAAGUCUUUAGUUGACUUGGAACUUUACACGGUACACAAUUUUCUUAUAGCCCUCCUCUUCUUUGAGCUUUAGGAUUUCUAUUUUUAUUUACUGUUGGAGGGGUAACAGGAGUAGUUCUUGCUAAUUCAUCUAUUGAUAUUGUUCUUCAUGAUACAUAUUACGUAGUAGCUCACUUCCAUUACGUCCUAUCUAUGGGGGCUGUAUUUGGUAUUAUAGCCGGAGCAGUCUACUGAUUUCCAUUGUUAACAGGAAUUACUAUGAAACCAAAAUGAUUAAAAAUUCAUUUUGGAUCUAUAUUUAUUGGAGUUAAUGUAACUUUCUUUCCUCAGCACUUUUUAGGGUUAGCGGGUAUACCUCGACGAUAUUCAGACUAUCCAGAUGCUUAUACUGCAUGAAAUGUAGUUUCAUCAAUUGGUUCUACCUUAUCUUUUAUUAGAGCUUUAGGGUUUAUUUAUAUUAUUUGAGAGGCUAUGGUUUCUCAACGACCUACAAUUUUUAGACCAAAUCUAUCCUCUAACUUAGAAUGAGUUCACACUACUCCUCCUCAUUACCAUAGUUACGACGAAUUACCUCAGUUUACAAUUCGAUA